rnacentral:lncRNA from 1 species
CAGGCGGCCUCCAGGGAGGAAGGUGUGUCUGGGGCUGACGAGGGAGCAUGCAGAGGUCCUGGGGGGAGGCUGGUGUGGCGACUUGAGAGACACAAGGAGCCGAGAUGCCGCAGGAGGGCAGGGCAUGAAACCACAUGGGUCAUGGUGAGGAUGGUGGCCUUUAUUCUGAGCAAAGUAGGGAGUUACUAGCAGAUUUUGUGCGAGAAAUGGAAUCAUUUUCACAGCAUCACUCUGCUGUGCUGGAAACGGCUGUCGGGAGGUUUGUGAGCAGGAAGGACGGGAUACUCAUGAGGAAGAAGGCAGGCAACUGCCGGAGGGGGCUGCUACUUUUCAUGGUUUGAGUUGAAGGAGUGGGCCUUGCAUAAUGGUGCGCACCUGUAAUCCCAGAAUCUUGGUAGGGCAAGGCGGGAGGAUCGCUUGAGACUGGGAGGUCAAGGUUGCGGUGAGCUGUGAUUGCACCACUGCACCCCAGCCAGGGCAACAGAGGGAGACACUGUGUCAAUCAACUAAUCAAUUAAUAAGAGUGGCGGACGGCUUGGAUGUGGAGAGCAAGAGAAGAAAAAGUCAAUGAAGGUUCACCUGCUAUGUAGCACGUGUCAGAGCUUCAUUCGGAGUGGAAUUGCCGGGUCACACGCUGGGAAGAACCCAAUGUUUGUGUCCUCCCAAAAUGCACAAGUCAAAAUCCCAACCCUCAAGAUGAUGGGAUUAGGAGGCG